rnacentral:rRNA from 1 species
GGACUACUGGGGUAUCUAAUCCCGUUUGCUCCCCUGGCUUUCGCGCCUCAGCGUCAGAAGAGGUCCAGCGCGCCGCUUUCGCCACCGGUGUUCCUUCCGAUAUCUACGCAUUUCACCGCUCCACCGGAAGUUCCGCACGCCCCUACCUCCCUCGAGACUCGCAGUAUCAAAGGCACUUCUCCGGUUGAGCCGGAGGAUUUCACCCCUGACUUUCGAGCCCGCCUACGCGCCCUUUAAGCCCAGUGAUUCCGAACAACGUUCGCACGGUUCGUCUUACCGCGGCGGCUGGCAC